AACGCACCUUGCGCUCCUUGGUAUUCCGAGGAGCAUGCCUGUUUGAGUGUCAUUAAUAUAUCAAUCCUCUUCAGCCUUUUGUCUGUUGAGUGUUGGAUGUGGGGGUUAUUCUUUUUUGCUGGACUCUCCUUUGAGGUCAGCUCCCCUAAAAUACAUUAGCAAAACAAUUUGUUUACUGCUCAUUGGUGUGAUAACUAUCUACGCCAUUGAUGGUAAAGCACAGUUUAGCUUCUAGCAGUCCAUUGACUUGGACAAUCUUUUAUCAAUGUGACCUCAAAUCAGGUAGGAUUACCCGCUGAACUUAA
rnacentral:misc_RNA from 1 species